AUGGCUGCUGAUCUUAAACUGGAGGAAAACAUUACAAGCACAGAACAUAUCUUACUUGGCAAAGCCAGUGAGUUCAUGUUCAUUUAGUUCAAUUACAGAUUAUGCAAAAUGUAUCACAUAUUUUUUUUUUUAUCAUGGCUUUGAGGUUUUCUUUUCAUUUUUUUGGUCAUUCUGUUGCACUUUUGAUGUUUCACUUCCUCUCUGCCAGUUCGCUCAAGCAGAAACAGUAAAACAGUACAGCUAGUAAGUGCCAAAAAGUGCAGUUCCUCCAACGGCCACUUGAGGCUGGCUCCACAAGUGAGUCAGUCACCACAGACUCUCAUGUUAAAAUGUCCAACUUUGCAGAAGAAACAAAUAUGUUUGGAGCCCGGUAUAAAAAAAGGUUUUUGCUGUCAUGUACAGUUCCCUUCGCCUUAUUAACUGUAUGGAUGUUUUUGUUGUAAUAACUCAUCCAUUUGGAGACUGGUGAGGCUUAAAGUUAGCGCCGUGGCUGCUUUAACUGACACACAUCCUAACACAAAGGACUGCAGCUGCUAUCUGUCUGUUAGGCCUCACCUCAGUAAAUUGGAGUCACUGAGCUUGACCUCUUGCUCGUGUUUGUGUUCCUGAGAUUGUUUAUCUGUGCAACUGAGAAUUACAAGUACAAUGCAGCAACACAGACAGAUAAAAACACAUUUUGUGCGACCUUUCAUCAUCAUGAAAGAGGUCAUGGCCUGUUCUAACCUUUAGGCAGCACCGGGGCAAUGCCUUCUGUGCAAACUAUCCCCAAGGCUAAAUUAAAAAAAACCCAAAAACCUUAAAGGUAUUUUGUGAUAUAAGUUACAAUCUUUGCCUGGUUGUUUCUCCACCCCUGGUCGUUAUCAUCUCAGGUGUUUGAACAUAAUAACGAUAGCUGUUUUGCUGACAAGGACAGCACGAAGCCUCUGUGGUUUGUGUUGAUGACGGGGAUUUGAACUGUGAAUCACCUGGACACCAGCCAACCCUGGGCUCUAAACGAGACAGUUUAGACUGAAGCUGCCCCCCCACCUGAUCCCAAUCACAUCAGUGCUGAGGUGAGCAAGUGUCGGCUUUCAGGGUCGUAAAACUAUACCUUGCGCUGGGUACAUGGGGUUGGGGUUUGGGGGGGGCGCUGCUUGGUCAUUUCAAAGAAAUCUCGUUAAAGACUAAGCCUCCCCAGCUGUGUGUCAAAUGGAUUGUUUGACCCACGUGACCCCGCAGUCAUAAAUGUGUCUGAUUCCUAACAGGUUCACUGACGUUCAAGGUUAAACCCAAGCACAGGUUGAGCCCAGUUAUAUGAAAGACCGCUUUGUUUGAUGCCACCUCCACAACUUUGCUGAUGAGACUUCGGUGUUGCAGGUGUGCACACACAGACAAUGGAAAUCCUGUCAGGAGAGUGUGUGAUGAUGUUUGAGAAAGAAAUGAAAAACUACCUUCAGGACAAUUAAUCUGUCACUUUCUGCUGAGAAUGCAAGUUAGCGAUGAGACACGAAAUCUCCAAAAAGCCCGAAGGCCUAGAAGAUGCUCUCUCACGCUGACAGCAUGUGGAGGGGGUGUGCGAUGGUGGCGGCGAAGGGGGUCAUCCGUUACAUGCACGGACACAUCUAGGUUCUGGUUACAGUGUUGACAAGACCUGCAAGAAGCAGUGCGGGAGAUGUGCGAGUGGUAUUUAGAGAGCACAGAGAGACAAGUCUGUGCACGGUGUGUCUGAAGAGCGUCUCCAGUCUGACAACAAAUCCACCGCAACCCCUGAUGUGACAGAGAACCUCCAGGGAGAUGGUUUCCACUCGUUUGAAGAAGAAAAACACUUUCAUCCACAGCACAUCUUCACACGAGCAGAGAUGUCCUUCGGUUAAUACGUUACAGACAUGUGGGAGAGUUGUUAGUGAAAGCACAUGCAAGUACUUCUGGAGUAGUUAUUCCAAGUUCAUAUUUUUAAAUGAAGAAAGAAAUGAUCAGAGGAAUGUACCUGUGAUGACUUUAGUUUACAUGUUUAUACUUCAGCUUUUUUUGAAUGUUUAAUGACUGGUUUAACUUUAAACUUUAAAGCUGGGUUUCUGCUGGGCCACUGACAGCCCUUAGUGUCCUUUUGAUAGACACAGAGCAUAGACACAGAUCGAAGGAGAGUUUCUAUCAUAAAUGUUUUCAUAGAUUCAGCUAAAGAAAUGGGGGGAAAUGUGUUUUUGUGACAGGUUACAAAGUGCUUAAAGAUACUAUUUGAAAUUAUUACUUUGCUCAGUUGUCUGUUAUUGGGAGACACAACAUUAUUUCAUCCCUUAAAUUAGGUGUCUUUUUAUGCUUCAAUGAUUUAUAGUCAGAGUUUAAAAAUGAAAAGACAGCCAGUCUCCUUGGAAGCAAAAUAUAAAGAAAUAAGGUGGCUCAAGAUUUACUGGAUAUAUUUGCCAGAUUUGUUAACUGUAGUUUUAUGAUAGACAUUGUUUUUAUUAAAAAAUGCAUCUGGGGGAGAUUCUCCUGAAAAAGUCACAUUUUUAUAGACUCUUUGCUUCAGUACAGCAGAGUGAAUUACGUCCACACAACAUGUGUUUUGAAUAAGGACCGUAGGAAAUCUAUAACUGCAGCUUAAGUAUAAAGGA